rnacentral:misc_RNA from 1 species
CGAAUCUCUCCAGAAAGGUAAUUCCGACCGUUGAUGAUAGAUCUCGGCCAAUUUGAUUCAUUUUGUUUCAACAAGUCUUUAUAUAACUAAAUCAUUCGACAUUUGCACUUCCUGCUGAUGUUGUGUAGAGUUUGGUGUCUCCUUCCUUGUUUUAUUUGGUGAUUUUUGAAUUUUGCGAACAGUUAUUAGUGUUUUUCAUCUGAUCUGAGGAUUGCAGAGUGGGAUUUAUUUAGAUCCGUAGUUUUUGUAUUAUAUCAUGCACAAUGGAAUAUAAAUCUUAAAACGAAGCUUUGUUCUUUUCGUUUUCUAUGAUCACUUGUUGAUCGCAUCCCAUUUGGUUUUGAUAUGCAAGUGUUCUGCCUUCAGAUCUAUUCGAUCUGCCUUUUAUCUCUCUUUUUUUUGUUCUUUCGAUUUUUAUUCGUCGCGUAGAUCCAUUUUUGGAAUUGCCAUUGGCUGGAAGCUGCUAUUGGGUGCAUUUGUAUAUUUGGGGAUGUGAAAUUAAUGGCUGAUUGACGAGCUAUUGUGUCAUUAGGGAUCAAUAGCUGAG